AAUCAACGCUGGCGGCGUGCCUCAGACAUGCAAGUCGAACGCGAAAGUUUCCUUCGGGGAACAAGUAGAGUGGCGCACGGGUGAGUAACACGUAGGUAAUCUACCUUUGGAUGGGGAAUAACAACCGGAAACGGUUGCUAAUACCGCAUAAUGCAGCGGCACCUAAUGGUGACAGUUGUUAAAGCGGGGGAUCGAAAGACCUCGCGUCUGAAGAGGAGCCUGCGGCGGAUUAGCUAGNGGUAAGGUAAUGGCUUACCAAGGCGACGAUCCGUAACCGGCCUGAGAGGGGCGGGUCGGUCACACUGACACUGACAUACGGGUCAGACUCCUACGGGAGGCAGCAGUCGGGAAUUUUGGGCAAUGGGCGAAAGCCUGACCCAGCAACGCCGCGUGAAGGAUGAAAUCCCUCGGGAUGUAAACUUCGCAAGAACGGGAAGAAUAAGCGAGAGUUAAUAUCUUUCGUGAUGUACGGUACCGUUUGUAAGCUCCGGCUAACUCCGUG
rnacentral:rRNA from 1 species